CCAGACUCCUACGGGAGGCAGCAGUGGGGAAUAUUGCACAAUGGGGGAAACCCUGAUGCAGCAACGCCGCGUGAGUGAGGAAGUAUUUCGGUAUGUAAAGCUCUAUCAGCAGGGAAUAGAAAAGAAGGUACCUGAAAAAGAAGCCCCGGCUAACUACGUGCCAGCAGCCGCGGUAAUACGUAGGGGGCAAGCGUUAUCCGGAUUUACUGGGUGUAAAGGGCGUGUAGGCGGGGACGCAAGUCAGAUGUGAAAACCACGGGCUCAACCUGUGGCCUGCAUUUGAAACUGUGUUUCUUGAGUACUGGAGAGGCAGACGGAAUUCCUAGUGUAGCGGUGAAAUGCGUAGAUAUUAGGAGGAACACCAGUGGCGAAGGCGGUCUGCUGGACAGCAACUGACGCUGAGGCGCGAAAGCGUGGGGAGCAAACAGGAUUAGAUACCCCAGUA
rnacentral:rRNA from 1 species